UGGUGACUGGAAUUUCUCCCCAUCA
rnacentral:piRNA from 1 species